UGGAACAGGAAAGAAAGCCAAGACCUGUA
rnacentral:piRNA from 1 species